GUGAGACACGCCCCUCGGGUUUCCGCCAGCCUGCCUCCGGGAAGUUUUGAGAACAGGGUCCCGGGAAACCUGGGGGCCCUGUUCCCCUUCACGUGAAGUCUCCGCCCACCGGCCGAGGUUCGGGGGUGAAGAAGCGACUUCCAAGGGAUGGGAGGGGACGGGCCAGAAUGCCAUGCAGAACUUCCUCGACCAGGGAUUGAACCUGUGCCCCCUGCACUGGAAGCACUGAAUCUUAACCACUGGCCCACCAGGAAGUCUGCAGUGUCCUCUUGUUUACAGCUGUAGCCCCAGUGUCAAGCAUGGUGCUUGGUACAUUAUACAG
ensembl:lncRNA